rnacentral:rRNA from 1 species
GACGAACGCUGGCGGCGUGCUUAACACAUGCAAGUCGAACGCGGAAGCUCAGCUUUUGUUGGGUGGAUGAGUGGCGAACGGGUGAGUAACACGUGAGUAACCUGCCUCCUUCUUUGGGAUAACGCCCGGAAACGGGUGCUAAUACCGGAUAGUCACUGGUCUUCGCAUGGGGGUUGGUGGUAAGGGUUUUUCUGGUGGGGGAUGGGCUCGCGGCCUAUCAGCUGGUUGGUGGGGUGAUGGCCUACCAAGGCGUUGACGGGUCGACGGCCUGAGAGGGUGACCGGUCACAUUGGGACGGAGAUACGGCCCAGACUCCUACGGGAGGCGGCAGUGGGGAAUAUUGCGCAAUGGGCGGAAGCCUGAUGCAGCGGCGCCGCGUGAGGGAUGGCGGCCGUGGGGUUGUGAACCGCUUUCGCUCAUGGUCAAGCCGCAACAAUGGUUGUGGUGAGGGUAGUGGGUAAAGAAGCGCCGGCUAACUACGUG